AUGGGAUGGGGGAGGGGUCAAGAGGUGGGGGAGGGGCAAAAAAGGGGUGGGGGAGGGGUCAAGAGGUGGGGGAGGGGCUUUAAGGGGGAGGGUCUGGGAAUAGUGGGGGAGGGGCUUAGAACAUGGGUGGGGGAGGGGCUGAGGACCCCUCGAGGUGGGGGAGGGGCAGAGGACCCCUCGGGGUGGGGGAGGGUCUCUGACCGCCCCUCCCCCCCUCUCCGCCCCUCCCCCCAGCCCGUCUUCGCCCCGAUGCUCCCGGGCAGCCCCCGGCUCCACCCCUCCCCCACCCUGGUGGGCGGGGCCGCCCCUCCCCCCUUCGCCCCUCCCCCGCCGGACCCGCCCCCGCAGCCGCUCUACGGUGAGAGACGCCCCUCCCCCACCCACCCCCAUUUUGGGGAGGGGGAGGGGAGUGAAUCCCCCUCCCCCACCCCUCCCCCACUCUGUCUGACCGCGCCCCUCCCCCACAGCCGCGGUGCACCCGCCCUUCCCCCCCCCGGGGCCGCUGCACCCCUCCCCCACCCCCGGGGGGGGCUCCACCCCCGCCCCCGCCGCACCUGCGCAGGUAAGGCCCCAAAUUUGGGUGGGGGGAGGGGCGGGGGGAGGGGCUGCCCCUCCCCCACCCAUCACUCACCCCUCCCCCCCUUUCCAUUCCAGCACCAAGGAGCCGCCGCCGCCCCUCCCCCACCCGCCCCGGGGCUGUUCUUGGGGGCCGCCCCUCCCCCACCCCCCUCCUCCGCCCCUCCCCCACCCCCCUCCGCCCCUCCCCCGCCCCCUUCUGGCGCCCCCUCCCCCCAAAGCGGCUUCGGCCCCACCGCCGCCCCUCCCCCACCCCCCCCGCAGCCCCCUCCCCCCCUCCCCCUGCCCCUCCCCCCACCGCCGCCGCCCCCCCCGCCCCUCCCCCACCCGCGGCGGCCGCCGCCCCUCCCCCACCGCCCCCCCCGGCCGUGUUCGCGCUGCACCCGCACGGCUUCGGCGUGGCCCAGGUGGGGGAGGGGCAGAGGGGGGGGAGGGGCGAGAAAUUGUGGCAUGGGGGAUGGGCAGUGGGGGAGGGGCACUGAUUUUUGGGGUGGGGGUGGGCAUUAUAUCUAA
rnacentral:lncRNA from 1 species